rnacentral:rRNA from 1 species
UUGUCCAGGGGGCCGCCUUCGCCACCGGUAUUCCUCCAGAUCUCUACGCAUUUCACCGCUACACCUGGAAUUCUACCCCCCUCUACAAGACUCUAGUUUGCCAGUUCGAAAUGCAAUUCCCAGGUUGAGCCCGGGGCUUUCACAUCUCGCUUAACAAACCGCCUGCGCACGCUUUACGCCCAGUAAUUCCGAUUAACGCUUGGACCCUCCGUAUUACCGCGGCUGCUGGCACGGAGUUAGCCGGUCCUUCUUCUGUAGGUAACGUCACAGCUGCAAGGUAUUAACUUACAACCUUUCCUCCCUACUGAAAGUGCUUUACAACCCGAAGGCCUUCUUCACACACGCGGCAUGGCUGCAUCAGGGUUUCCCCCAUUGUGCAAUAUUCCCCACUGCUGCCUCCCGUAGGAGUCUGGGCCGUGUCUCAGUCCCAGUGUGGCUGAUCAUCCUCUCAGAACAGCUAGGGAUCGUCGCCUUGGUGAGCCAUUACCUCACCAACUAGCUAAUCCCACCUAGGUUCAUCCAAUCGCGGAAGGCCCGAAGGUCCCCUCCUUUCCCCCGUAGGGCGUAUGCGGUAUUAGCAGUCGUUUCCAACUGUUAUCCCCCACGACUGGGCAGAUCCCUAGGCAUUACUCACCCGUCCGCCGCUCGCCACCUCAGGAGUAAACUCCCUUGUGCUGCCGCUCGACUUGCAUGUGUUAG